GAGCCUGUGGCGCAGCUGGAUCAGCGCGAGAGGUUCCUAACCUCUAGGUCCAGGGUUCGAAAAAGAAGGCGAACAAAUAACAGGUAUGUUGAUUAGCAACAAACUGCCAAAAAUCUCACCUUCCUUUGAAAGUCCCUGCAGGCUCG
rnacentral:tRNA from 1 species